AGGUUGUUUUAUUCAUAACAGGUUUGAGCUUGUCAUGCUAAGCAUGAUGAUGUGAGAGAAGUGAGACAGACCACUGUAGAGGCGAAGGCAAAGAAGACAAAAAGAAAACAGACAGAGAAAUAACAAAAUAAACAAAAAAUAUCAAUUUAGUUAGAUACGGUUUCUUAAACAGUGAGGGUGAAGAAUUUUAAAAAUAAAAUACAAAUUAAAAAAAAAUAUAAAAUAAAUAAAAGAAAUACAACAACCUGUUUUAUUUUUUUUUUUGAAAGUCAUUUAUUUGUUAACUUAAAAUUAAUUGUGUAUAAAUUAACAAUUAUUUAGACGGAAUUUCCAAACCACAAUAAAACAAGAAUUGCAGACCGUAGCAAAAUCUUACAACAUAAUUUUGAACUAAAAAAAGGAAAACUUUUUCCUUUGCACAUGUUUUUUUCAUCGUCUACUUCAACGUUCUACAUUCAUCCAACAAAAUGCAUAUUUUCUAGCAAAGGCAUUUUACAAUUUCUUUCCGUUAUUAAGUUUUAAGCGAAUAGACAGAGAAAAACAACUUAGAAAAUAGUAUUAACUAAACAAAAAAAAGAACAAACUGCCUAAUUUGUUUCUUGGAAACAGAUUUUUCCUUUUUUGUUUGAUUUUUUCUGAUUUCUGAAUCAUCAAAAGGAAAAUAAAGGAAAAGAA